GGGAAUUGCUCCUUCAGUUCAUGACCCAAGUAAUUACUACGAUGCUGCUGAUUACUCUCAGGAUCGCCGUAUGGCUAUGCCGUUGCAUCAGUUAUCGAGAUACUAGAGAGAUGGACUGAACCCGGAGGUUUUGCAACACCAUGUGAUCCACUCAAACGCUCAAUCAACUAUCAUCCAUCAAGGAACAAUUAAAAGGUGAGUUCACUUGUUGCGUGCUCCAUUUGCUUUUAGCAGUUGUCUGCAAAUUAUUGAGAUGAUAAAGCAGCCGAGUAUAACAGGACAGAGGAAGACUUUAUGGCUGCGUCUUCUUCUUUCAUUUGUUUACGACCGCACUUGAAUGGGGACAUCUCUGGCACUACAAGUCAAUUGAGUUAAAUGAAGGACAAGUUGCAUACUAAUGAAUGGGACAUCUUUGGUGUCUACGAGUCAAUUUAGUUAAAUGAAAGGACAAGUUGGGGCUUAUUAAUCGCAAAUAAAAUCGUGUAAAUUACCAUAAA